GCUACCCAGUGUGAAGGUACAUGACAAAGUAAUGAAAAACAAAGCGCAGUGUUCUGACCCUUUGCUUUUGUAUGAAUGUUUCCCGGCAUUGCUGCUCGCUUACGUACACGGUACGCCAGCGGCGCAGCGUUUUCUUACAUAUAAGCGCGAGCAGCGAGCGAUGUGUUCAAAGACCAGCGCAAGAAAGCAGGCGCACACCAAAUAUGCGCGCCUGCACCUAGCCGCGCCGAAUCAAACCAGAGAAAAGGAAAGCAGCGACAAGUGAUCGUUUAAGAGCCUAGUGCAAAAACCAGACGCACACCAAUCUGCGCUCGGAAAAGUGAUGGUGUAAAUACCUAGUGCAGAAACCAGGCGCACAUCAAUCUGCGCUCGGAAAAGCGCGCGCAAGCACGUAGCAAGCCGCGCCAAUCCAAUCCAGAAGCCAAAGGAGAGGGGGGAAGUAAUGUGUGACACUAAGUUCAGUGUUACCCAGAAUUUAAUGUAUUAAACAGUUGCAAGCGUGAUAAUUCACUCAUAUUUCGUACUUGUUGGUUCCAAAUGUUCUUGCUGUUCAGUUUGGUUUACCGUAGGGCAUUUAUUUUUUCAGUACUGCAGCAGUGCAUCACGUUCGUGCUGAAAAAUAAUGCAUCAGUUUUAAUAGCUUCAUGACUUUCAUGUAUUUGCUUGUGGAACCAGCAGUGUGAUCUCUUCCAGUGUAUAAAUGAACGCACAAAUGUUCUCAUUUGUGAUAUUAAUAAUACUUAAACUGUUCACAUGCAUUGUAUAGUUAGGCAGGCAUAAAUUUAUGGACAACAGCAAUAUUUAUUUAACGUGGUGUUUAAGCGCCCUAGAACAGACAGGGUAUAUUUGCAUGUGUUCUGUAGUCGCAAACCAUUACAAUAUAUAUGUCACACCUUCUUGCAUUUCAUAUUGCAAAAUUGUGCUUUUUUUCAAUUUCUGAUUCAGUCAAAAUUUCUGUUCCAGACAUGCAGUAAUGAGGAUGGCACCAGUAUAAAGCAACACACUCCACACACUAAACAGAAGCUGCUGCCUGCUACAACAAGGCCAUUGUGUGGACAUUGGCUGCUACUACAAGAGUCCAUGCCAAGCAUACCUUGGUCAUCACAGGAGCUCCUAUCCACACCAACAGAAAGGGGCUGGACCUGAAUUUGCAAGGCUUUUACACCACGAACAAAGAAGCACAUGCAGAAGAAUUUACAUGAGAUAUCAAGUCUGCAGAGCACUGUGUCAAGACUGAAAAGAGCUUCAGCCACCAUUCCACCAGCGCGGACAAAUUGGCUUAGUCAUCCAGGUAACUCAAAAGGGACUUUAUGGAAAUUCUUCGUCUUCAGAUGCGCCUGCAACUUCUGAUCAAGCACGGACCACGCUGGCCAAAAGAGUUCCAUCAGUUUGCCCUUAAUCAGCUUCCUGGCCAUGUCAAUUCCAUUUGUGCCAAGUGUAAUUUUUCUUCUAUAAAUGCAAGCUUUUUCAUUGCCCAUUCUCGUUAGAGAUCAUUCAUCCUCAUCCAAACAUAAAGGUCAACCGAUUCUUCGCUGAUACUUAAUACCAGUCACUGUCUAGUAGCAUAACAUAUCUGUAGCAGUACCUUUUAGUGCAUGUUGUCAUGCACAAUUCCUCUCCUGAAAUAGCUGAUGCAACAUCGACAUGUUUCUUGCAUUAACCUACGCACUGUUUGCUAUGCACCAUUUUACUUUUCUUGAUGUUUUUGGCCUUCAAUGCUUGCAGAGCAGGGUGGCUUCUCUCUUGAAUGCAAGCUUUCUCAUUUUCCAUAUUCCUAGUCUCGUUGAUGGUUGCUCUUCUUCCUCGAUAGCCUGGGUCUUUGCGCAAGCUACACUGAAUGAUAGAUUGCAGAAUCUGGUUUUGCUGCCCCACUUGGUUGUGGUCGCCGUGUUACAUUUCUCGGAUGUGGGGGCCUGCUCAGUUACAUUGGUAAGCAGUCUCUCGAGGUAAGCAUUUGCUCCUGCAGUCCGCACAGCGACAUAGACUCCCAAUUUACACACCAUGAUUCGUACUCCCCGUUCAGCCUUUCCUGCUGCAGCCAUGUGCAAAUUGUGCCUGCGGCCUUUCUCAGUCGCAAUUAAGCACGAACGGAGACAAGCAUACGUGCUUACAUGGUCCAACGUGUUUGAAGUUCAUAGCCACAUGGGUGGAAAGGCCCGCAUAAAUGGCUGCCGAAGGUGAUGCCCACGAAAGCGACUUGUCCAUAUUGAGACAAAGUGGGACACCAAAUGUGAGCCACACAUUAGUGGCCCUCGACAGAAAAGAAACAUGCAGGUUGGAAAGGAGUUCACGCUAAAAUGCCGGAUAGUCCAUUUCGCUGUGUUGGUUGUGGCAGCAGAUGCCUGCAUCACCUGAUUGCUUCGCAAUGGAAGUUGCUCAUCUUCACGGCAACUGUCGGUUCAAACAGGUGCGACGCUCUGUCCAAUCUGUUUUUACUGCUGUUUGUCGCUCGUUACCAGACCACCACAUGCGACGAAGGCAAGCAUUAUGCCUGUAAGUAGGCAGCUGAAUGUAUCCUAAGAGACCCGUGUAUGUGAAUGCUCACUGUUGCCAUAUGGUUUGUAGCCAAUGUAUAAUAUAUUCUCUGAACACAAUGUGGUGAAUGAUUGCCGUUUAUUUUUGCGGUUAUCUCACUUGGUUACGGUCGCCGUGUUAUGCUUAUCGGAUGUGGCGGCCUGGUCAGUUGCACUGGAAAGCAGUUUCUCGAAGUAAGCAUUUGCUCCUGCAAUCUGCACAGCGCCAUAGACUCCCAAUUUACACACCGUGAUUCGUGCUCCCCGUUCACGUUCAGCCUUUCCUGCUGCAGCCAUGGGCAAAUUGUGCCUGUUGCCUUUCUCGGCCGCGAUUAAGCACGAACGGAGACCGGCAUACGUGCUUACAUGGUCCGACGUGUGUGAAGUUGGGUGCAAAGGCCCGCAAAAGUGGCUGAUGAAGGUGAUGCCCACGGAAGCGACUUGUCCAUAUUGAGACAAUGUGGGACACCAAGUGCGAGCCACACAUUAGCGGCCCCCGAAAGAAAAGUAACGUGCAGGUUGGAAAGGAGUUAAGGCUAAAAUGCCGGGUAGUCCAUGUCGCUGUGUUGGCUGCGGCAGCAGAUGCCUGGUUCACCCGAGUGUUUCGCAGUGUUAGUUGCUCAUCUUUAACAGCGACUGCCGCUGCAAACAGGCGGGACACUGACCAAUCUGCAUGAGCCGCUGGUUUUCGCUCGUUACUAGACCGCCAUGUGUGACGAGGACGGUGAGCCGUUUACGAGCUCGCGUCAAAGAUUCCAGUGUAUCUCGACAUACAAAUUUUAUUUCUGCUAUUGCACGAGAAUGUACAUACACUGCUGGUCUUCUGCCAAUAAAGUCGCACGUUCUGUUCA